rnacentral:rRNA from 1 species
GUGACUGCGUACCUUUUGUAUAAUGGGUCAGCGACUUAUAUUCUGUAGCAAGGUUAACCGUAUAGGGGAGCCGUAGGGAAACCGAGUCUUAACCGGGCGUUAAGUUGCAGGGUAUAGACCCGAAACCCGGUGAUCUAGCCAUGGGCAGGUUGAAGGUUGGGUAACACUAACUGGAGGACCGAACCGACUAAUGUUGAAAAAUUAGCGGAUGACCUGUGGCUGGGGGUGAAAGGCCAAUCAAACCGGGAGAUAGCUGGUUCUCCCCGAAAGCUAUUUAGGUAGCGCCUCGUGAAUUCAUCUCCGGGGGUAGAGCACUGUUUCGGCUAGGGGGCCAUCCCGGCUUACCAACCCGAUGCAAACUGCGAAUACCGGAGAAUGUUAUCACGGGAGACACACGGCGGGUGCUAACGUCCGUCGUGAAGAGGGAAACAACCCAGACCGCCAGCUAAGGUCCCAAAGUCAUGGUUAAGUGGGAAACGAUGUGGGAAGGCCCAGACAGCCAGGAUGUUGGCUUAGAAGCAGCCAUCAUUUAAAGAAAGCGUAAUAGCUCACUGGUCGAGUCGGCCUGCGCGGAAGAUGUAACGGGGCUAAACCAUGCACCGAAGCUGCGGCAGCGAACGUAUCACUUAAAGCGAUUCAGCGGGUUACGAUUGACGGAGCGAAGCGACGUCAAAGCGUAUACAAAGUCGAGUCGGUUUAAGGAUACGUUCGUUGGGUAGGGGAGCGUUCUGUAAGCCUGCGAAGGUGGCCUGUGAGGGUUGCUGGAGGUAUCAGAAGUGCGAAUGCUGACAUAAGUAACGAUAAAGCGGGUGAAAAGCCCGCUCGCCGGAAGACCAAGGGUUCCUGUCCAACGUUAAUCGGGGCAGGGUGAGUCGACCCCUAAGGCGAGGCCGAAAGGCGUAGUCGAUGGGAAACGGGUUAAUAUUCCCGUACUUGGUGUUACUGCGAAGGGGGGACGGAGAAGGCUAUGUUGGCCGGGCGACGGUUGUCCCGGUUUAAGCGUGUAGGUGUGUGUUCCAGGUAAAUCCGGUUCACUUUAACACUGAGGCGUGAUGACGAGGCACUACGGUGCUGAAGCAACAAAUGCCCUGCUUCCAGGAAAAGCCUCUAAGCAUCAGGUAACAUCAAAUCGUACCCCAAACCGACACAGGUGGUCAGGUAGAGAAUACCAAGGCGCUUGAGAGAACUCGGGUGAAGGAACUAGGCAAAAUGGUGCCGUAACUUCGGGAGAAGGCACGCUGACACGUAGGUGAAGUGAUUUACUCACGGAGCUGAAGUCAGUCGAAGAUACCAGCUGGCUGCAACUGUUUAUUAAAAACACAGCACUGUGCAAACACGAAAGUGGACGUAUACGGUGUGACGCCUGCCCGGUGCCGGAAGGUUAAUUGAUGGGGUCAGCGCAAGCGAAGCUCCUGAUCGAAGCCCCGGUAAACGGCGGCCGUAACUAUAACGGUCCUAAGGUAGCGAAAUUCCUUGUCGGGUAAGUUCCGACCUGCACGAAUGGCGUAAUGAUGGCCAGGCUGUCUCCACCCGAGACUCAGUGAAAUUGAACUCGCUGUGAAGAUGCAGUGUACCCGCGGCAAGACGGAAAGACCCCGUGAACCUUUACUAUAGCUUGACACUGAACAUUGAGCCUUGAUGUGUAGGAUAGGUGGGAGGCUUUGAAGUGUGGACGCCAGUCUGCAUGGAGCCGACCUUGAAAUACCACCCUUUAAUGUUUGAUGUUCUAACGUGGACCCGUAAUCCGGGUUGCGGACAGUGUCUGGUGGGUAGUUUGACUGGGGCGGUCUCCUCCUAAAGAGUAACGGAGGAGCACGAAGGUUGGCUAAUCCUGGUCGGACAUCAGGAGGUUAGUGCAAUGGCAUAAGCCAGCUUGACUGCGAGCGUGACGGCGCGAGCAGGUGCGAAAGCAGGUCAUAGUGAUCCGGUGGUUCUGAAUGGAAGGGCCAUCGCUCAACGGAUAAAAGGUACUCCGGGGAUAACAGGCUGAUACCGCCCAAGAGUUCAUAUCGACGGCGGUGUUUGGCACCUCGAUGUCGGCUCAUCACAUCCUGGGGCUGAAGUAGGUCCCAAGGGUAUGGCUGUUCGCCAUUUAAAGUGGUACGCGAGCUGGGUUUAGAACGUCGUGAGACAGUUCGGUCCCUAUCUGCCGUGGGCGCUGGAGAACUGAGGGGGGCUGCUCCUAGUACGAGAGGACCGGAGUGGACGCAUCACUGGUGUUCGGGUUGUCAUGCCAAUGGCACUGCCCGGUAGCUAAAUGCGGAAGAGAUAAGUGCUGAAAGCAUCUAAGCACGAAACUUGCCCCGAGAUGAGUUCUCCCUGAGACUUAGAGUCUCCUGAAGGAACGUUGAAGACGACGACGUUGAUAGGCCGGGUGUGUAAGCGCAGCGAUGCGUUGAGCUAACCGGUACUAAUGAACCGUGAGGCUUAACCUUAC